UCCUCUAAAAAACUGUCGUAACACAAGAGAAAGUAGAAACACAGAUUUAAAUACAGUCUUAUUAAGUUUUUCAUUCUUUAUCGAUCAAUAAAACCGCCACAAUUGUAGUACAAAAAAAACUAACUAGAUGGCGUAAGUGACGGUUUUUUACGGAGCGAUAUUGCGCGCUCCCGCCUCUGCAAUAGUGACGUAUCGGAGCUUGUGUCUUGUGAACGUGUGUCAGUGCUCAUGAAAAUCGCCGUAAGCUGUCUUAUGACCAUACUUUGGAAUAAAAAUGUGUGACAGAUUUAAGGACAGCAGGGGCAAAAAGUUACUUCAACUUUUAAAUUCUGAAAGUGACGAAAAUAAAGAAAAUUGUGAUUUAAUAUUAAGAAGAACAAUAAAUAAAAAAUGUUUUUUGUGUUA
rnacentral:lncRNA from 1 species